AUCUUUGGCGUUGAGUAAUUCGCAAGAAGGUGCAUUAGGAGUCCCUACCUGGAAGAACCAAUGAAGUUCUUGCACAGAUUAAUCACUAACCAAGCAUUUGACGUACCUCUUCUUCCGGGACCAUGCGCUCCAAUUGGAAACGGUUCACCUGCAUUUCAGCAGCAUUGAGAUCAUACACGGAGUCCGCGGCCGCUGUUCGUUGUUAGCCAACAGUGCUAACCACGUCAGGGAGGAAAUAUUUCAACGUCUCUCGCAGUCGGUUUAAAGCCGACACAUCUGGUGACAGCAGGAGUGUCGAGACGUUAUCCGCUUCAUUUCCACGAACCAGCGAAUCAAGCAGAGUCAUGCGUGCGGAGAUCGCAGCUCCCUUGCUGCUCCUGGCCUUCUCCUUCUGCUGCUGCCCUUCCCAGUCUCUACUCCAGCUAAAAGCAUCCAACACCAGGUCGAAAGGGAAGACGGCACGCUUUCGCUGCGUCAUUGACACCGAGGAUGAUUUCGACGGUCUGCAGGUGCAUUGGUACCGAAACGCCGUGAGCGGAGGCAUGCAGCGCAUCCUGUACAUCAGCGUGAAAUCCGAGCCAGUCAGGGACCCAGGCUUCGGCGACAAAUUCUUCGCUGAGAAUUUGUCGAAGGAGAAAGCGAGCCUGUUGGACAUCAGAGACAUAGACGAGAGCGACGCGGGGGACUACUACUGUGCUCAUUGGAAGAGCACAGUGAUACAACGCCGCGGGAGCCCAGAUCAAAUACUCAGCGCCGAGCCGAGGCUGCAGCUUGCCACACUAUGUUGCUGUGUUGUUACAGUCGCUCGAGUCAGGUUAAACCGGCUGUCCAUUAUUCCCGUCUCAAUUGUUCAAUCCAAUUACCAAUUCAGGUUCCAGAUAUUUGAGAGGGAGAACCGCAUGCCGCCGAGACGCUGCCGCAUAUUAACCCUGGAAACUGGACAGAGGCCUAAUAACACAAGAACACGCUGGAUAAACUGAGGGUCCCUCUUCAUGCCAAGCCACCU